CAACUCCGCUUGAUCCUGGCGGACCCAACUGCUAUCGGGAUGAGACUAAGCCAUGCGAGUCAAACGCUUCCAGGCCAAUGUGGGAGCGUGGCAUACGGCUCAGUAACACGUGGCUAACCUACCCUCCGGACUGGGACAACUUCGGGAAACUGAGGCUAAUCCCGGAUAGACGAAGAGGCCUGGAAUGGUUCUCCGUCUAAAGGGCAUCAGGGCCAUGCUUCCUGGUGUCGCCAGAGGAUGGGGCCGCGACCGAUCAGGUUGUUGGUGAGGUAACGGCUCACCAAGCCUAUAACCGGUACGGGCCGUGAGAGCGGGAGCCCGGAGAUGGGCACUGAGACAAGGGCCCAGGCCCUACGGGGCGCAGCAGGCGCGAAACCUCUGCAAUGCGCGAAAGCGUGACAGGGUCAUCCCGAGUGCCAUCCGCUGAGGAAGGCUUUUGUCCGGUCUAACCAGCCGGAAGAAUAAGGGGAGGGCAAGUCUGGUGUCAGCCGCCGCGGUAAUACCAGCUCCUCGAGUGGUUGGGACGAUUAUUGGGUCUAAAGCGUCCGUAGCCGGCUGGAAAAGUUCUCCGUAAAAUCCAACGAUCCAAUCGUUGGCCCGCGGGGAAUACUUUCCGGCUUGGGGGCGGGGGAGGUCGGCGGUAGUCCCGGGGUAGGGGCGAAAACUCUCGAAAGAGGUUCGUAGUCUUAUAAUCCCGGGAGGACCACCAGUGGCGAAGGCGGCCGACUAAAACGCGCCCGACGGUGAGGGACGAAAGCUGGGGGAGCGAACGGGAUUAGAUACCCCGGUAGUCCCAGCUGUAAACGAUGCAGGCUAGGUGUUAGGACGGGUACGACCCGUUCUAGUGCCGCAGGGAAGCCAUUAAGCCUGCCACCUGGGGAGUACGGCCGCAAGGCUGAAUUCUCGAACAGGCAGAAACCGCGCCUGGCGGGACAGCUGACUUAAAGGAAUUGGCGGGGGAGCACCACAAGGGGUGAAGCUUGCGGUUUAAUUGGAGUCAACACCGGGAACCUUACCAGGGGCGACAGUUGGAUGAAGGUCAGAUUAAAGGUCUUACCGGACUAGCUGAGAGGAGGUGCAUGGCCGUCGCCAGUUCGUGCCGUGAGGUGUUCUCUUAAGUGAGAAAACGAACGAGACCCGUGCCUUUAGUUGCCAUCGUAUUCCCUCGGGAAUGCAGGCACACUAGAGGGACUGCCUCCGCUAAGGGGGAGGAAGGAGCGGGCCACGGCAGGUCAGUAUGCCCCGGAUCCCCUGGGCCACACGCGAGCUGCAAUGGCUGGGACAAUGGGCUCCGACCCCGAAAGGGGAAGGUAAUCCCUAAACCCAGCCUCAGUUGGGAUUGAGGGCUGCAACCCGCCCUCAUGAACAUGGAAUCCCUAGUAACCGCGUGUCAUCAUCGCGCGGUGAAUACGUCCCUGCUCCUUGCACACACCGCCCGUCGCUCCACCCGAGUCUGGUUUUGGUGAGAUGCAGCCUUGUUGGUUGCCUCGAACCUAAGCUAAGCAAGGGGGGAGAAGUCGUAACAAGGUGGCCGUAGGGGAACCUGCGGCCGGAUCACCUCCUUAGAAA
rnacentral:rRNA from 1 species